rnacentral:lncRNA from 1 species
GAACUCUACUCUCCCCUUCUCCACUGCUCUGCUUUGUGUAAAUCCUGCUUGCUAUAUUCUCCAGGAAACUCCAAUGGAAAUAAGCUUCACAGAUCUAAAAAGAGGGUUCCAUAACAAGUGGCAAACCCAAGAUAUAAAUCCCCAGUCUGAUUGUGAAGCCUACAACUGGUGACACUUGCCAGUUCAGUCAACCAGAAGACAGACACAUCUAAGGGCUCACUAGCCCAGCCUCGGGAAUAAGCAGAGACACGAGAACCAGAGCAUGUGGAAGAUAUCCCCAAAAUUCUUUGGCACUAACUUCUUGGAUUUACAUAGUAUUUGCUCUAGGACUAUGGUAGCAAACUUAUGGCACAUGAGCCACAACAUGCUGUUCGUAUCAUCGAAAGCUCUAAAAGGAAAAGGAAAGAAAGAGACAGUAGACACCUCGGAGUUCCUGAGCUUCUGCUUGUGAUUGAGUGAGAGCAGAACAAGGAAGGAGUCUUAAGAACUAAAGCUUCGUAUAAGGAAAACUAUUGCCGGAGACAACAGGCAGCCACAAGUUGUAUCAUCCUUAUUUUCGUGAUAAACAGGAGGUCUGAAUGUUUGCAAGCCAAUAAAAUAUUUUGAAACCUUGAAGAUUAGUGUGCUUUAAGGUUUUGGAUGAAUGCCAUUCAGAAAGUGUUUCCUUUUUGAAGUUGUCAUUAUAAUAAUGAAUGUUUUGUAUUUGGGGAAGUGGUGUAAUAUUUGGAAUGUUCAGCCCGAGGGAAAAAGAUUAGUAGCUAAUUCUAAUGACUUCUGGAGAACCUG